AUUUAAAUAGUUUAAGGAAAACAUUAGUUUGUGGUGCUAAGAAUAUAAGGAAAUUAUUUUAAAUA
rnacentral:tRNA from 1 species